UUAAUUAACAGCAGUUGUUGUUUUAUAUGUUAGCAAUUUAAAUUUUUAGAAAUUAUGUUCUACUUUGACCGUGUUUAGGUGGAGCGGUAAAAUGCAGAGAGAUCAAAGAGAACACUAAUUAAAAAAAUAUUUUAUUGGGUCGAUACUGAUACUAAGAAACAAAAGUUAGGGAAGCAAAUGAGAAUAGAUACCCCAAUAGUCUUAGUUGUAAACGAUGGAUACUGUAUUUUGACAUUGCUGCAACUAAUAUGUUGAGUAUCCAAAUGGGGAGUAUGUUUCGCAAAAAUGAAACUAAAAGGAAUUGACGAGCCCCCGCACAAGUGGUGGAGCAUGUGGUUUAAUUCUAAUUCGGUGUAGAAUAAUCUUAUCAGCUUGGCAUGCCAUUAA
rnacentral:ncRNA from 1 species